AGGAUGAACGCUGGCGGCGUGCCUAACACAUGCAAGUCGAACGUCCUGUCUCGCAAGAGGCAGGGAGUGGCGGACGGGUGAGUACCACGUGGGUUAUCUACCGUGAGGUGAGGAAUACCGGCGAGAAAUCGCCGACAAGACCGCAUAGCCUCGGUGCAAGUCGAGCAAAGCUCUCUCGAGAGAGGGAGCGCCACACGAGGAGCCUGCGCCCGAUUAGCUAGCUGGUGGAGUAAUGGUUCACCAGGGCGACGAUCGGUAGCUGGUCUGAGAGGACGAUCAGCCGCACUGGGAUUGAGAACGGCCCAGACUCCUACGGGGGGCAGCAGUGAGGAAUUUUCGUCAAUGGGGGCAACCCUGAACGAGCAACGCCGCGUGCAGGAAGAAGGUUUUCGGAUCGUAAACUGCUUUUCUCGGGGAAGAGAACGGACGGUACCCGAGGAAUCAGCCCCGGCUAACUACGCGCCAGCAGCCGCGGU
rnacentral:rRNA from 1 species